CUCUCACUUUCCUUUCUCUCCCGUUUCUUCCACCUACCGCAGAGCGUGCUCGAGAUCUUCUCUCACUUUCCUUUCUCUCCCGUUUCUUCCACCUACCGUAGAGCGUGCCUGAGGCCCGUCCGCCGGAGCUCCCGCCCCUGGCCCCGGCUGCCGUGCCCGCCGGAGCGCGCUCCCCUGGCCAUGCCCGCUGGAGCUCUCGUCCUAGCCCUGCUCGUCGCGCCCACCGACACGCUCGCCCUCGGCCCUACCUGUCGCGCCCCUUACCGGCCCGCCCCAGCCGGCCGCCCACCGACGCCUCCACCCUGCCCCGUCGGCGCCCCCACGCCCGGCGACCCACUGUGACCGUCGCGCCCGCCCCCGCUGCCCCAAGCUAUUCUACUUCUGAAGGACUAAGGUAGCCAGCAUUUUCGUUCCUAUUGUCAUCACCCUAUCCUUCUUGACAUUCCUUGCAUGGUUUCUAUGUGGAUGGUUGGGAGCAUAUCCAAACUCAUGGUCUGCUGAAAGUAGCAAUUGCUUUAUUUUCUCCCUCAUGUUCUCCAUAUCUGAUGUGUCUUAUUAUGAUUAUGGAUAAGACUUUUGUGAUGUAAUUGAUAAGACUAUGGAUUUAAAUAUUGUUAUGUGAUUGUGUGUAAGAUGUUUUAUGUGAAAAUAUGUUGUGAUAUAUAGCUGUUGAUAUAUUUGUUAUGUUGUGGAAUGUGGUGUAAAAUAAAAAUAAACAACAUUUGUAAUGCUAGUCAAAUUAA